CUAAUAUUAUUAUGAUAUACAAAACUGUAUUUCUAGAUUUUUCUACAGUGUGCAGAGCUAGAAAUCUUUAAAGGUAACAUUUUGUAAGAAAAAUAAAUCUGCCGGCGAUUUUUUUAAUUGCUAAGUUGAUAAACUGAAAACGUGGUAACUCUAGAAUAAAAUCUGUCUUGAGGUUGUAAAAGGCGUGCAGAAAUUCUGACAUAACUUUUUGCUUUAUAGUGGUACGCAUAUGUGUUGUAUACCUCAACGGCGGAUUAAUUUAAACGGUAAGCAAACUAUGCGGCCACAUAGGGGCUCAAAGGGGUCCCCAAGGUCUUUAAAAUUCUACUGAAAAAAGGGAUUGCGAAAACACAGAAGAUAGAAAUAGUCCAGAAAAACACUUCGAUAUAGACAUGGAAGUAAUAAAUGAUAUAGCUUUAUGGCCAAUAAUAUUAAUUAACAGAUGCUAUUAUUUUCUUAUUAUCAUAUUCUUAAAACAAACCAAAAAGUAUUGGGAAUAUAGCGAAUUUGAAAUCAGUGUAUACAGUAAAGACAGAGAUGAAGUGUAUUACAAAGAACUUUCUUAUGACUAUUUUUACAGAAAGAAAUCAAAAUUAUGGAAAAGAGAAAUUGAUCGAUAUUUUCAGAAAGAAGCAAAAGUGUUUACUGUUACCCUUGCAAACUCUUUUCAACAUCAAAGUCUAAAUUAAUAACUGGUUUAUCGAGUAGCGACAAAGUAGCUACUUUUCAAAAUAUCUGUGGCGAAAUCAAUGACUUUUAUUUUAAUAUGUUGCGGCGUUUAUUUACGAACGUUUGACAACACUGCUGCUCACCAACAUAAACAUUCGAAUAAAUGGCAGAACUGACUGAUAUUUUCAACGUGCCUAUGUUAACUUGUCUAACUUAGAUUAGUGUAGUGAUAUUGGAACUUCUCAUCCUCCCUCAAUGUGGUUUUGUGGUCCAGGUACAAUCUAUUUGCAUGCAGUCGGAAAGAGUAGUAAGAAAAUGUAGACAAAGGGCCAUAAAAAAGGAAGGAAGAAAAGGUGAAAAAAGGGAACAGGAGAGUAGGUAGAAGCUCGGGAGAGAGAGGAAGCAGUAGUAAAAUGGUGGAAUCUGAAAGUGAGAUUAAAGAUUAAAGUUUUUUUUGUAUUACAAUAUUUGGUUGUUCGAGUUCUGUGUGACAAAUUGGCGAGGCAGAAUCCAUAAUUCAAAUCAGGUUAUCUACAGUUAGGUUACAGUGUGAAUAUGGCAACGUAGUCACUGUACUUGUGUUUGUGAAAACAGGUAAGAAUGUAAAUAAUAAUAUUAACAUUAUUUGAUUAAUAUUAAGAUUUCAUAACAGACACGUGAUGAACGUGCUUGGCUAAUCCUGUCAAGUUUGUUAUUUCUGUAGGUAAUUUUGUACUUUUGUAUUUGUAUAGUGAAGUAAUUUGCAAUGCUAAGUUUUUAUGUACAUGUAGACUAUUUCAUUUAGUACUUUUUAAUGUAUAUUUAAGUUUUAUAGUAAAAUUUUAAUAAUUAAUUUUAUAUUAAACAAAUUUUUAGGUUUUUAUUAUUUUCUGUAAAAUGUUUGGUUGGAAAAAUCAUAGAAAUAUGAGAUACGAGGGCAUCCAAGCAAAUGAUAUUUUGUCACUUGCUUGCAUUCACUCUAUAAAUAAUAGUUACUAUACAGUUUACCAGUGUCGUAGUAUGGAUGUCAGCGCCCAGGGCGGAGAAAAAUUUCACCGUCCCGUUGUUCAGGUACCUCAAUUUAAAAGACUAAAAUUCCAUUUCAUAACAGAAGAACAAGUAGUAAAAAUUUUCUUGCCAGUGUAGCCACCUGUCUAAAACUGUGCUUGUACGAUUCAUUUUUCAUAUACACCUCCAAUUUCCAAUGGACCUGUCUAAAAUAGCUCAAUUGGAUAUUGGAGGUGUAUAUGAAAAAUGAAUCGUAAAAGCAAUAAAAAAAAAAAUGGUCGACGGGCUGCGCACACGGAUGAAAUUAAUAUUCACCCGGACGGUGAGUCUAUUCUCAGACUAUUCCGUGCUCAUUUCAAUUGUAGGUGCGACAAAACUAUGGGAUAAAAUGGUUCAAAUUUUUACAAGAUGAUAUUAUUAUUUAUUGUGAAAUUUUGCUGCCCCUUAAAAAGUGCCACCCGGGGCAGGCCACCCCUGCCGCCCCCACUAUGCUACACCACUGCAAUUUACAGUAUCUUAUAAGUUUUAUACUUGUAUAGGCAACAUGUUAAAAUUAAUAUUUUUGUUUAGUUCUAGUUUAAAAAUGUCUAAGCAACUGUCGGGCGCAUAAAAGAGAAAUAUAAGGAAACGAAAAUUAGAAGAAUGCAAGUCAGUGUCGCAACAAUUUGUUAAAUGGCUAAAUACAGAAACACCAGAGAACGGAGGAAGUUCGGAAAAGGUCAAACCUACUACUGCUUCACAAGCUGAUGAUACAUUUGGACUCUUUGUGCUCUCCGAGCGGUAAGGGGCCUAAACCCACAAAAAAAAAAAAAAAAAAA